rnacentral:rRNA from 1 species
CCUACGGGGGGCUGCAGUGGGGAAUAUUGGACAAUGGGGGCAACCCUGAUCCAGCCAUGCCGCGUGUGUGAAGAAGGCCCGCGGGUUGUAAAGCACUUUCAGUGAGGAAGAACGCCUGGUGGUGAAUACCCAUCAGGAAAGACAUCACUCACAGAAGAAGCACCGGCUAACUCCGUGCCAGCAGCCGCGGUAAUACGGAGGGUGCGAGCGUUAAUCGGAAUUACUGGGCGUAAAGCGCGCGUAGGUGGCUUGAUAAGCCGGUUGUGAAAGCCCCGGGCUCAACCUGGGAACGGCAUCCGGAACUGUCAAGCUAGAGUGCAGGAGAGGAAGGUAGAAUUCCCGGUGUAGCGGUGAAAUGCGUAGAGAUCGGGAGGAAUACCAGUGGCGAAGGCGGCCUUCUGGACUGACACUGACACUGAGGUGCGAAAGCGUGGGUAGCAAACAGGAUUAGAUACCCGUGUAGUC